AAACUCUUGGAACGCCGCGGAGGGGCGGGCGGGCCUGCCUGCACGGGCGUUGCGUGCGGGCUAGCGUUGUUGCGGCGCUUUUCUCUACCUCUCCUGGCUUGGACUAUCCAAGGUGCUUGAACCAGCAGGCUGCAAAGACAGUGUGCUCAGGGAGGAAAUUUGGGUGCUACUCUGUUCUGCCGUGUGUGUGUGUGUGUGUGUGUGUGUGUGUGUGUGUGUGUCUGUGUGUUUCUUCCUUGCAGAGCAAAGAAUGGAACUAGCUUGAGUACAUUUUAGCUCGUGGGGGUUUCGGGCUGGACUGCAAAGAGCUCCUCCUGCUGUCCCUCUGGUUGCAUUGCUGCAGUCCCCAAGCUUCUUGCACCAGUGAAGAUUGUGUGCCGGGGGCGGGAUGGGGGGGGGGGCAGGUAGUUUUCAUACCUCGUUGCCUGAUUUUUACUGCGCAAGGGGUCUGCCGGGCAAGGCAUUCAUAUCUGAAAGCUGGAGUGCUUAUUAAUGAAGAAUGACUUCCAUUGAAGCCCAGGGUAGGCGUGUUAUGAAUCUGGCGCAUCCAGAAGCACAGGAAAUAACUCCCGCUGCGAGUGCGGUUGCAUAACUAUAGCGCAGGAGAUGCCUCUGUGCCCGAACUGCUUCAGAGGGAGGCGGAACUGUACUGAAUAGGCAGCUGUCACGUUUGCAUUGGUAGAGGACAAAUACGUAUUCAUCUCAACAGAUUUUUGCCCAGAAACCUGACGUUUCGGGUUGGAGCCUAGGGUCUGUCUGACGGAGGACUCGGAGCUCCCGGCUUUGCAAAUUCUCUUUAUCUAGAAACCCAGUCUGGGGCCUGGGGCCAGAAUCCCAAGCUCUGCCAAGUUCGUGAACAUCUUCCCAGGCGUCAGUCUGACUGGGGGAAAUUCUUUUCACGUCUCAGGUUUGUCUGACCUGAGAAUGAAGGUUGCUGCUCCAGCCACCUGGAGGAGUAGAAUGGUUCCAGAAGAAGAAGAAAGAGAACUUCCCCCACUCCUGCCAUCUGCUUAAGCUCGGAUUGUUCGCCGGAGGAACAUGCACGCUACUGUUAACAUUUUCUGUAUACACAGUAGUGCUUGAUGUUUGAAGAAUGAACGAAGGAGCGAAACCAAUCAUUGACCCCCCCCCCCAGUCCCCUUAAUUUCUGAGGUUUGUUUAUGUAACUGGCUUCCCGCCUCAGCAGGUCCCAACUGAGAGCAAAGAAAGCGGACUGUUCCUGACGAGAAAUGGUGAGGGGAGGGAGGUCUGAAACAGGGAUCUUUAACCUGGAACUCCCUUCGAUACUCCUGCCUCAGCCUUGAGUACUGGGCUUACAGGUGUGGGCCACCAUGCCUGGUUUUAACUUGGCCUUUUAGACUUGUCUCUGUGAAGAAUCUAGGGUUGUUGAUUCAGGCCUAUUUUUCCACUGCUACCUCUAAGGUCAGGUUUGAAUAAAGACCCAUUAUAGUAUUUAUAUUUUAGCUCUUAAGCAAAUUCCUUAAACGCUAUUCCUGUAUAUGAUGGGAAUAAUAGCAUCUAACUAAGAGCUGUGGAACAGAUUGAGAUAAUUUACAUAAAGCAUUUAGUGUAAGAGUUCAUGGUAAGAACUCAGUAAAUCUUAUUUACUAUUUUGUACAACAGAGAUAAUAAACUCCAUGGUACAGUGGUGGCAGUUGCUCUGAAGGUUAAAUGUAACUCGUUCAGUAUUGUUUAUUCAUUCAAAUCACCAUCGGUCAUCUUAUGUGUAACCCCCUUGCUAGAUACGUGACCUGGUCCUCAGUGGGCCACCAAUAAUGAUCACUAUUAGUUAAAAUUAACUUGGGCUGAUGUGGUGGCACACACCUGUAGUCUGAGCACUUCAGGAGACUGAGGCAGGAAGACCGCACAUUCAAACCCAACCUGGGUGACUAAAUGACAGUGAGAUCCUGUCUACCUGUUUAGGAAUAAAAAAUUAGGUCUGUGUGUGGAGAUGCAUGCCUGUAAUCUCAGCUCUGGAAGACUGAGGCAGGAGGAUGAAAGUUUUAACCAGCCUGGGAAAUUUAGUGACUUAGUGAGAACUUGUCUCAAAAAUAAAAAAGGUCUGGGCCUCGGAUGUAGCUCAGUGCCUACCUAGCAAGGGCAAGGUCCUGCGUUCAAUCCCUGGUGCCACAAAAAAAUUUUUUUCAAUAAAGGACAGAACAUGUAGCAGUGCAGACUCUGGGUUCAAUCCCAACUACCAUAAUAAAUAAACAAAAAUGUUCGUAAAAGGACUGGGGAUGUAGCUCAAUGUGAAGGCCCUAUGCUUAGUCUCCAUUACCUAAAUAAAUAAGUAAAUAAAUAUAAAAUAAUAAAGUUGGUCAUUUGCAAAGCCAUCUUUCACUUUUGAAGAUGUGCUUCUCUUUGUUUUAGUCAGUGCAUUGGGAAAUCAUUAAUACCAGUUUUGGGAGAAGAUAUGAAAAGUAUCUUCAUGUCAUGUGCCAGUCUGUGUACUGGCCACUUUUGUAUGCAUUGCUUACCAGCAGGAACAAGACGUGAUCAAUAGCCCAAAGGAAUGCUUUUUAGAUUGUUCUAAAUCCCACCACCAAGACAAGUCACCAAAACAUUCACACUACCUUUGGUGGUCCCCAUGCCAUGGCAUUUUAGGACACUUUUGUACCCUCCACCUUUUAUUUUGGCCAUGCUGGGGAUUAGACCCAGGAACUUCACACUGACCUGCAUCUCCAAACCCUUUUUAUUUUUUAUUUUGAGAUAAGGUGCUGGUCUGGGCUUGAACUUUGCAUUCUCCUGGCUCAGCCUCCCAGAGGGCACUUUUAUGCCCUUUUUAACAGUGCAUUUAUUGCUUUUUUUUCUCUUACCACGUUGUUGACAAUCUUACCAGCUGUUUUAGAAAUUGUCCUGCUCUGGGCGGAGCUCUGAGUCUUCAGCUGUGAAACAGUGUGAUCCUACAGUGACACUCAGAUCCUUGGAGUCUUCUAGUCUGCCCUAGAGGUCGCCCUGAACUCAAGUGGCUUUGCCCCUCCCCUCUCCUGGUGCCUGGACUUUCCAAGGGACACAAUUUCCAGUGAACUUGAAACUACAGUCUGAAAAAAAUCAUAUGCAAAAAAUGAGGCUCCUUGCUGCUGCAGGAUUCAGAAAGAACCGUGCAUCUUGGAAGACAUUUCAGGAACCUCCAGGAAAACCCAGAGACAACAGAGAGACAGAAACAAGGACAGCAGAGGUUUGUGACAGUUAAGCUGGACUAUUGACUUUUUUCACUUGAGAGCUGCCAGAAGUUUUAUCAGGUAAUUGGCACUGAAAGAACAAAAAAGAAAACAAAAAAGUGUCUCCUUCUGGGAAAGAAGUAGGGAAGUCUACUAAGGAAGAAAGUUUAGAUUCCAACCAUCUGGGUUCAGUGCAACCAUUGUCAAGGUGAGCAGAGCUCACCAUUUUCCUCCUUCUGUGCCAACCUCCUGAGUCUGGCUGCUGAGGAGCGCUCAUGAUUUCUCUCACACAAGGCCAUCAAGAGAAGAGAAGGAGCUGGUUUCAUCUGCAGGCCAAGGCUUUUAAGAAGUGAAUGUGGCUUCCCCUAGCUCUGCUUCUCCUUUCCCUGGAUGGAUACAGUUGACAAGAGGGACCUCAGUGUGCAAGACACCUAAAUCCCUGAAAUACUUCAUAGAGGAAAAUGACCAUAGAUCUGAAACAUUAUUUUAAUCAUUUAAUAAAAGGAAAAGAAACCUUUAUUUUUUGA